AAUAGGUGAAUUUUAGCACCAUGGUGUGAGGAGUCCCAGCAGUGUGGGGAUGAGCACAGUUUUGGUAGAAGGGUUGUGUGCUUUCUGGGGUCUGAAGAAAAGGAUGCUGCUUCUGGACCUUGGAAAGAUGUUUCCUGAGGAGGCAGCCGACGUGCCUGAGGGGAGGCUGAAUGCAGGAGGACUGGAAAAAAAAGGCACUCAGACUGUGACUGCACCUGGAAAAAACAACUUUAAGGAGGUGGGAAAGACUGCAGACAGUUUCCUGAAGGAGUGUGAAAAUGGCAUUUGCUGCAGAAAGUUGGAAUUGUGGAUACCCUGCAUCCUGAACCUGCUGCAGAAGAUCUGGAGUACCUGCAGGAGAGCGAAGACAGUAAAACUGCAUUCGUACUUCGUGGGAGUGAAUUACAGCAAGGACUUCUACCUGCAGCAACAACACCCAGGUUAA
rnacentral:lncRNA from 1 species